rnacentral:Y_RNA from 1 species
GGCUGGUCCGAUGGUAGUGGGUUAUCAGAACUUAUUAACAUUAGUGUCACUAAAAAGUUGGUAUACAACCCCCCACUGCUGAAUUUGACUGGCUUAAA